CUCACCGCGCCUCGGCCCCAGGCCCGCCCCCGCCCCCCGGAGGUUUUCGCUUUCGCUUUCCUGCCCGCCGUCGUUGAGGAAAAUAAAGAGACCGUGAGCAGAGCCCGCGCAGUUGCCGUUUCUGGCGAAAGGCUCGGAGUGCUGCGGCGGCGGUGGCUGCCGGCUGGGAAGCGGGGUCCCGGGGCCGUGGGCCGCGCCGGCUGAGAUGGCAGCACGUCCUGGGGCUCCCUGCAAAGAAGGCCUUGGCCAGGCAGGUCAGCCAAGGCAAAAAUGGACUCCCUUCUCCCGGAGCCAUGAAUGCCAGCCCCCAGCUGUGGGUGCUAGAGAUUGCAACCUACUGGAAGAGACCAACAUCUAUAAGGUAAGAGAACAAUGAGCUCAUGUGUAGUUUAAGACUUUUCUAAGCUUUGGCAUGCAUUCAGUGAAGACCAGGAUGCCAGGAAUCUUGGCAGCUGAGUAAGAGGAGGGGCCAGGGAACUUGGGUUGACUUUCUGAAUGGAAUGAAUCCUGAGGACAGUAAGAACAGCUUGGUGUCAUCAGAGGUAGCUAAGAGGGCUUUAGACGCAGUGUAUUAGUCUUUUUCUGUUGCUAUUACAGGAUGCUUAAGAAUGACUAAUUUAGGAAGGAAGGCUCAUAUAAGGUCACGGUUCUAGAAACUGCAGGUACUAGGAUCUCAUACAGUGUGGUAACAUGGUGGAAAGGUGGGAGGGCACGUGAACGUGUGUGUGGAAGAGAAAGCAAAAGAUGCUGGGGGGCGUUAGUCCUUCUUAGUGACCCUUCUGCAGGAUUCCCAUCCCCAUCCCAUCAUUGCCACCGUGGCCGUCAAAUGUGAGGAAGAGUUCAGGCGGGGACAAAUGGCCUUCAAGCCACAGCUCCCAGCACUGCAGUGCUUGCCCUGGGAAAGCUUGACAACUCUCUAGCCAGGCAGGACUCACUUGUCGCAUGGCUUUCCCUGCUCUCUCCAAACCAUCCCUUCCUUCCUUAUCCUCUCCUGAGGCUCUGCCUGGCCUGUGCAAGUCACAGCAAACACUGCUGGAGUAACUGUAACUUUUACUUUCUGGCAAGGAUACUUAAUUUCUAGAUUAAGAGAAAUGUGCUAGGAUCCUUGAGGCAUAGAAUUCUCUAAUCCAAUGUUAAAUCACAAGACACAUUUUACAAAAUGAAUCAGUUCGUUAAGUUUGAGUGGUAUAACUCCCAUCUUUUGGUUCAUUUCCCCCAAAUACUAACUGUAGCAGAGGGCUAGGCUAAGAAGCCACGCACCUAGAACUCAAUCUGGGUCUCCCACUUACGUGACAGGGGCCCAAAUAUUUGAGCCACCUGCUGCAUCCCAGUGUGUGCAUUCACAAGGGAACUGAGGCUCAAAUGCCCACCUCUAUGCCAAAUACCCGCCUCGCUCUCUCCGGAUUUUUAAAAAGUGAAAAUAUCUUGUAAAUAAUGAAUGUGGGGGGAUGUGCCAAGGCCAACAUGUACUACUGAUGUGGUUGGAAAAAAGGUGGCUUUAAAAAAUGUGUUGAGACUGAGCAAAAGUGUCUAUAUUUAUAUAGGCAUUCAUAUGUAGACAGUUACAUUGUUUAUAACAGGAAGCAGAAAUUAUCUGAGAGCCCAAAACAGGUUUUCAUUAUUCAAAAUGUGUGUGCAUCCCUGUAUAACAGCAGAAUGACAGAAAUGUGCAUUUGUUUCUGAGAAAGGGAUUCAGAUAUGUUGUUUUUGAAAAAGUAAACAUAGAAACAUCUUCUAUAACCUCCAGAGCAAGUAGCUUGGGACUCAGCCUAGAGAAUUGGCCUGAUGUGUUUCAGCAAGAAUACAACUUCCCUGAGCCUUUGCUUCCUGCCUGGGGGGUGUGGACAUUACGCCCACUGGACACAGCACCCACCACACACAGCACCUACCAUUCAUAGCACCCACUGUGCAGGUGAUGAGCACAGCUAAUGGCUGCAGCACAGCCUGGUAUGUGGUGCCCAGAUGACAUACAAAUCAAGAGCAUCUUUAUUUGUGAAUGGGCGUGGGAACGUUCUGUAAACUCAUAGGCCAGCAGUGGGUUGUUUUCUGCUUUUCGUUUUGAUUUUUCUGACUGGUAGAAUCAUGGAUGCUUUUUAAUAUUUUCUUUUUUUUUUUUUGCAACAAAUACUUAUUGUGCUACAAUGGUGGUAUGAGUUUUUUAAGAAAUAGGUAGUAAUUGAAACAUUUUAUGGAAAGGAAACUUAAUGGCAUUGCUCCAAAUGGUCAGUCCUCAUCCAAAUGGGUCCCUGAGUGGAGCUCUGGAAUACUGCAGGGGAGGCCAGAAACAAAGGGAAUGGAAGGAUAACAGGGGAAGAAGGGGAGGUCAGGCCUGCUGCUGGUGCCCAGGGAGUUGCACUCAGCCCUAACACUCAAAACCCCAGGCUCCUCCUGGGGAAGCCCUGAUAGGAGAUGAGGUAACUUGAGACCCAUUUGUCCCAGCUUCAGGUGGCAAUGGCUGUGUUCCACCUCCAUUGGCUGCUGACAUAACCCAACUGUGGCACAUCUGGAGAGGGGUCCUGUCACGGCAACUCUGGGCCUGGCUCCUCACUCCACCAUCAAUUCUGCAUUAUGUCUAUCCAUGUCCACCUUAUGCCCACUUGUGCCUGCUUGUUGAGGGUUCCUGGGCAAGCUCUUCUGCAUAAAUAAAUUUUCAAAAAAAGUUUAUGACUAGUGUCAUUACAUUGCAAUUUGUAUUAUACCCACCUGUAAUUAAUUUAUAUUUUACUAAAUGAAUGAUCACAAUAAUGUUUGCAUGUGGUUUGAAUGUCAGUAGUACUGAGAGGGUCAUAAAAAUUUCCCAGCAUUUCCCACCUUCCUUACAACAGGAGCCUCUUUCAGCCCUGUGUCCCCACAGUGUUUCUCUUGCUGCUGUUCUAUUGACAUCUUGCAGUGGAUGAGGCCCGAGUCUCCCUACAGACCCACUGCCUUCCCCCAUGCGCCCUUCCUGUAGUCAUAGGGCACGGUUUGUGGUUCACUCACAGCAGACGUGGACAUACUCCUGACUGCUGUGCUAAGCAGUCCCUUAAGUUCUGGAAUGUUGUCUUUAAUAACUUUCUCCUGUCUGUUUCACUCAUUGGAUGAUUUGGAUCUGUCUAAUUUCCUAUUUUCCAUUUAUUGACCUUUUGGUCAUCUUUCUUGGGAUCUUCAUUGAUCUCAUGUUACAGUUUUUGUUGAUUUAGAUU